AAACGGCUAUUAGUUAGCUACUACUACUACAUUUGCAAAAUUCUUCUUCCUCACAACCGACUCAGUCACCAUUCCCUCCUGCUACGAGCAAAAACCCUAGAUUCCUUUCUUUAUCUGCUUCAUGAAAAAAGAGGAAUUUCAAGAGCUCUUUUGAUUCAUUGAGCUUUCUUUGGAAGCUAAAGUUUCUAAAUUCUUUUUCUGUUACCUUAUUGUGCAUUAACUACUCAAGUUCACUGUAUUCUUAACAACCUUCUAACUUGUUCUAUAGAACAAGACAAAGAGAUGACAUUCUUGCGUUUGAAUUUUCAUCGACUAAUGCUUUCCAUCCUUGAAAAGCAUAAGAAUUUAUUGAUUAAUAUUUAUCUAUUCAAAUGUUUGCUUGUGUAUGUACAUAAUCAUGUGUAAGAGUACUGUUGAUUCUGAUCUCAUAUUUCAGUUGAGAUCCUGGGUUGUAGUUUUGUAUCAUUAAUCCUGUGGCUAUUAUAGUUAGAACUCUAACUCCCGAUGUAAUUUCCCUGAUAGUUGUAGGUAAUUUACACCAGAAAAGAGAACCUGUUUCUAGUUUCUUAAUGAGGUUUUGGAGAUUGAAAUUAGAUACAACGCCAUAAUUAAUUUAGGCAUCUCAUAUUUCAAUUGAGACAACAAGAAGUCACACUUCAAUAGAAUUAAGGGCAGAUGUCAUUUUCUCAGUAAGUUCAGUGGAAUAAAUUAAGAGUAGAAGUUGCAAGUCAACUAAAUUUAAGUGCAUAUAUUAUUCUCUCUCUAAUACACAAAGGCUAUAAAAUGUAUAAGCUAAAUAUUGGAAAUAUUCUGCUUUGAUAGAUUUAUGAAUUUAAUUAUACGACUCCAUGGGAUAAAACAAGCUGGUAAUGUGGUACUCAGUGUGGGAAUCUUCAAAAUCCGAUAUUUCUAACAAUAAAACACCUGUAGUACCCUAUUUACUGGCGUGUAUGUACACAUUUUUGGGAUGCAUACUGUUUUAUUUGUACUUUCUUAAACCGGGGAAUGUAAUCAUUUUUGUUUUUGUUGAUACAUCAGGGUGAACUUUCUUUUGAUAUGGAUUCGUCUAUUUGGGUCCACUUGAAAAUCAAGUUACAGAUGAAAGCAAUUAUACAGCAAGCACUUGGCAGUAUAACUUGUAUUUCAAUGCACGGCUUGGCGUGAUCGAGCAAGAUGCUUUAAAUGAGAUAUCUUGUCAGCAAGUUCUGAAGAUACUGAUGAUAUACUGAUGCUCCAGAGCCAAUUGGCCUGUACCGAUGAGAAAUUGUCUGAUAUGUUCUUUGCUGCAUUAGCCAGGAACCCAUUUUGGACACGUGGGACUGAAGUAGUUGGAUACGACCCUUGAAUUCAACAUCUCAAUGAGGGGUGCAUAUUUCACA